AAGGCAGACAGAAGAGCCCUCCCCCGCACUGCAGAGACCUUGAAGGUUGGAGAGCAGAGAGGAGAAGUUUUAGAAGGGGCGCCAGGACGAGCAAAUAUAAGUUACUGAGUGGAGACAAAAGGGAGAAUUGGAUAUGUGGAGAAUGAAAGGGGCGCUCCUACAUGAUAAUGUCAGAACAGAAGGAUAAUAUACUUAUCUUACCUAAGUCAUUAUUUAGAGUAGGUAAGGUUGUUACCUGGGCAGAGCCAGGUAUCAAAAGGGGGAUGGGUAAAUUGUGGUCUAGGAUAGGAUGGAGCCUAUUGGAUAAGAAACUAAAGAUAUAAUCAGAUAAAACAUAUGAGAAACUGUUUGUUAACCAAGCCUGUAUGUCCAGGAUUUUAUGCAUUACAGGUGAACUACAGGUGAAGUCACUCAAUCCAGUCCCAGAGGCUUGUUGGGGGGACCAUACCAAGGACUCCUGGUGACAGCUAGCUGAAAGAGCUACCCGGAUUCAUAUCGCAUGGCGGGAGGAAGUGAAGGUGUGUCUGGCUCUUGCUAGUGAUGUGUUCUCGGGGAGAGGGUGGGGCUUCACAUGGAAGCUGUUCGUCUGAGCUGUCUUAUCGUGGGUGACAUAUUCCUGAUACAGCACAUCCUCCUGAGUAUGCGGAGAGUGGUAAUUUGACCCAUGGUUUAGAUUAAUUAUAUUUAUUAUAAUCAACAGCGCUUUAACAAUUAUACCAGAGAUGCUAUUAAAGAUUUUGCAGAACAGACUGAAGCAACCAGCCUGAUGGCUUGGCAGAAUAGAAUUGCAUUAGAUAUGUUAUUGGCUGAAAAGGGAGAAGUAUGCGUGAUUAUCGGGACCAUGUUUGUGCUUACAUCCCAAAUAACACAGCUCCGGACGAAUCAGUGCCCGAAGCCUCAGCUGGUUUGGCCACCCUGGCUCACGGUUUGGCAGAAAACUCUGGGGUGGAUAAUUCUCUGACUAAUUGGUUUGAUAAGUAUGUUCGGAAAAUGGGAAAAGAUAUUAUGAUCACUGUUAUAUGGGCUACAUUCACCUGUGUGACUGUUUAGUUUUAUGGGGCUGUUGUCUAAUUCCCUGUGUAUGAGGCCUUAUUUCCAUGACUCUGGAGAAAUCGAUGGCAAUAGAUGGUGAGGUACCAGCGAUUCCAGGUUCUGACCCGUGGAGUGCUGAAUGCAUGUCUACAGAACAAGUGGACGAAAAUUAUAAAUUAAAUUAAAUUGCGAGGGUGUCCGUAUGGGGAUUACAUGAUAACCAAUUUGUAACAGUUCUGGGAUUGGAGAAGAGGGUAUCCUUAUAGCAUAGGGGAUCCCACAAAGGUGGAUAGGUUUUCCAUGAUAUGGGGAAAACCUGGGAGCACUGUUGAACUCUGUAAAGGUGAUGAAAUCCUACUAACCAUCAAAACUAUUAAGCUCUCUGAUGCAGGCACUUACACCCUCGGACUACAAAGGACCGGGACAGACACGAUGGGUGUGUUUUCUAUUAAGGUGCUGCCAAAACCAGAGGUCCAAGACGAACCAGAGCCAGACACACUCCUCUAACACCCCUGACCCGAACCUGCCACCACUGUGUUAAAAAUCCCAUUCAGGUAAUUAAUGUUAGAGACUAUUCAGCUAUUGAUCAAUUUGGCACUGAGACUGGUUUUGAUGGUAGGGACAAUUUGUGGCUGUCUUAUAUGAGGUAUACAGCUAAGACCCUGAAAAGAAAGGACUGCAUGAGUUACAUGAAACAUUGGUCAUGCUAGACCUGUUCUGGCUACACACCCAUUUGCUAUAGGAGAAGGAGAGGGGUGGUUGUGUAUUCUGAGAGGUUUUUACCAGGUUCAGCCCAAUUCAACUCUCUGUUCCUCUUUGAGCCUUGUGUUUCCUAUAGUACCUCCUCAUCGGGCCCCUUGGUGUGUUAAGGCAUAUGGGGGCAAUUACAGUUGCAUCACGGGUACAGGUAAUGGCAUUGAUUAUGGGAGAUUGCCUGAAGCUGAUUGCAGUAGUAACAUAGCCAUUAAUUCCACCAAACUAGUGGUCUGGCUGAUGUGUGGUGGAUCUGUGGACCCAAAAGAGUGCUGAGACCCGUUCUUAGAGGAUACUGGCAAGGUACGUGUGCUCUGACCAGUUUGAUAAUUCCACUGACCAUUGUUGAUGUUACUGCUGAACAGCUGUUGGGUUCUGUAUCCAGGGGACCUGAAAAUAUUCCAUCCCAUGGGAGACAUAGACGUAGUGCUCCAUGGACAGAGGAUGUAGUUGACAUACACACUAACCUGUUGGGAGUGCCAGUGGGGGUUCCUCAUGAGUUUCAGGCCUUGGGUAGGAAUGAUGGACUCUGGCACUUACUACCUAUUAUAGGUCCAGCCGUAGUGGAUGCAAGACAGACUGCAUGGAUUAAUUAUAUCUACUAUAAUCAACAGCGUUUUGUGAAUUACUCCCGUGAUGCACUCACUGGUAUGUCUGAACAGCUGGAGGCCACAUCUAGGGUUGCCAGACAGAAUAGACUUGCUUUGGAUAUGCUUCUUGCCAGUCAGGGGGGUGUUUGUAAGAUGUUCGGUGAACAAUGUUACACAUUUAUUCCUAAUAACACCAGUCCAGAUGGUAGUAUAUCUAAGGCCCUUAGUGGGCUUGGUGCACUAUCUGCUGAGAUGAGGACCCUGGCGGGGGUGGAGGAGUCUGGACUGUUCUCUUGGUUGGGAGCCUGGUUUGGUAAGUACACUGGUAUGGUGGUUACUGGAUUUCUGACCCUAAUUCUUGUAUUUUUGUUAUUCCUUAUGUGUUGUGCUGCUUCCAUCAUACCUUGUUUUAAGAAGUCUGUUACAGAUGUGGUGGCUUCAGGCAUGAUGCCUUUGCUUGAUGCUCCAGUUGGAGAUGCUGAUACUGAAUCAAGCUUUCAGGGGAGGAUGGGACUGACUGAGGAUGACCCAUGGUAUGCUGUGGGUGAGGUAGUAGAAUAAAUAUUACACCACCACAGUUCCUUGUUUUACAUUUGUUUUCUGAUGGGUUUUCUUUCCAGUAUGUUUGUUCUCCCUGUUGUGAAGGUUUAGAGUCCCUGGGUGGCAUGGUGCCCACCUGGUGCAGGAUAGGAGUAGCUGAGAGGACCAGAUGGUUUAUAAUAAUGCUUUGCUCUGUUUUCCAUGACCAAAGUUUUAUCCUACAUCUUACAUGUCAAUAAACAAUAAAGUCUUAUCCUGUUUUUUGUCAAAAGGGGGAGACAAAAGCAUAUAACACUUGAUUUUUCUUUUUUCUUGGUUGAUUUUUCUUUUCUGUUUUUCUGUAAAAAAUAAAUACAAAUAAUAAUAAUUGUUUUAUUAAUAAUAAAUGUUUUGUUAUUUUCAUGAAAUGUUAUUUACAUAUUACUAUGUUGGGACCGCUGAAAUAAAGGAUAAUGAGUGACACCCUAGCGGGUGUCAAAAGGGGGAUUGUUGGAUCCUGUAUUUUACAUUAUAGCCAUUUAGAUAUAUAUGAUUAAAUAUUAUCUGAUGUUGGUUGUGUGAGGUGUCUGCAUUUGUGCACUGGAGCAUCAUUAUGAGAUUAAACAACUGCUUGCUA